CUUUACGGGAUAUUUUGACGUCUAAUUUGGGAAAAUUAACCUCAUAAUUUUCCAUCUGUGAAUAAUUCUGAUGGACUGAAUAGUCUGUCCCUGGCUGAAUGAUUCUUCCCAUUGCAUAAAAUGCACUUUAAAACCGUGCAUGUUCCGUUGCAAUCUCCCACUCCACAUUUGUUGCACCUUCUCGCCGAUUUGCAUCUGGCCGAAGUGUGCCCAAUUCUGCCACAAUUAAAGCACUGAGAUAUUGUCAAUUUAAAGACAGGUGUCCCUGUGUUGUGACGAACCAUGGGGAACCAUGGUUCGUUACAGUGAGAAACUGUUUCUGGGAGGCAGUCACCACCACCCUAUAAGUUUUGAAUUGAUUGGAAGAGGAAAAAAGCUAAAUAAACAUAACACGUGCAGCUCGGAAAGUGCCCCUGGAUAGAGCUAAGACUACCGACCCGACUGCGCUAGACUCGCGCUCUGGCUCCAGUUCGUCACGUUCCACACCCAGCCUCUAGACAAAGGAUGUGAGAGGGAAAAGCCGGGCGCACCAGCACCGGGCGGUGUUAAUCCCAAACAAAUUAUGCCGCAGGGACCACCGUCAACCGGAUAUCCGGGAUCAACGUAUCAGGCGCAACGCUGAUAGCGAUCUGCUGGUCGAUCCCCAUCAGCGUCGCGUUCACCAUCGGAUCUAGCCUAUGGACGACCGCCAGCAAUGCCGUACGAUCCACAUUCGCAUGUGCGAACAAAUGAAAUAUGGCAUUCCACAUAUCACCUAUUGGAACACGGGGUAUACGAAAACUUUUAAUUUAGACUAGUCCCAUAUAUUAUGUUCCUGUCAUAGCCAUUGAUUGAUGAAGUCUAGCUCUUACCAUGUUUUUCUACAGCGGGCUUAAUUUAAUAUUUACGUGCAAUAGUAGCACCUAAUAAUUGAGAAAGAUGAGUACUUAAAUGAAGUAAAUUAUGUAUAAAUUUCAAUAGUAAUUACAGGAAAGAAAGCAUUAAGAAGAGAAAUGAACUAGUGGUAGAUAUAUAUAAAAAUACAGACCUAUAGCAAAAGACCAAAAUAAUAGUGAAAUUCGACGUUAACCGACUUUUAUCUCUUUAUGACAGUGCAUACCCACUAUUCGACCAUUGGCUUAUCAUUUCCUUUUCAUGAUCCAUAUUCCUCGGUUUAUCAAAAUUCGAUUCAAUAUUCAGCAAAUAGCUAGCUAGGACUGUCGGCACUUAGCAUAUAAUUUUAUCCAAUCAAUCAAUUUUCUACAUGAUUGGAUAAUUUUAACACAAAAUUUGUAUGGAACGUGUGUUCGGAAUGCUACGUCAUUGUCGUUGUUCGGCCGUUUUCAGCUGAGCAUGGAUAUGGAUAUACCCUAUACGCCCCAUUAUAUAUUAAUCUAAUAUAUAUACUAUAAUAAUAUAAUAUACUAAUAAAAGUGUAUGCAGUGUUGCUAAUGUGGCAUUAUUUCGUACACCUCACCACAUACUUCAUUCACAUUUCAGACUUGAAUUUUCACUAUUCACUAUUAUUCCGAGAUAAUUCCUAAAGAUCAUUCC